rnacentral:rRNA from 1 species
GACGAACGCUGGCGGCGUGCUUAACACAUGCAAGUCGAACGGAAAGGUCCUGCUUUUGUGGGGUGCUCGAGUGGCGAACGGGUGAGUAACACGUGAGUAACCUGCCCCUGACUUUGGGAUAACUUCAGGAAACUGGGGCUAUUACCGGAUAGGAGCUCUUGCUGCACGGUGGGGGUUGGAAAGUUUCGGCGGUUGGGGAUGGACUCGCGGCUUAUCGGCUUGUUGGUGGGGUAGUGGCUUACCAAGGCUUUGACGGGUAGCCGGCCUGAGAGGGUGACCGGCCACAUUGGGACUGAGAUACGGCCCAGACUCCUACGGGAGGCAGCAGUGGGGAAUAUUGCACAAUGGGCGGAAGCCUGAUGCAGCAACGCCGCGUGCGGGAUGACGGCCUUCGGGUUGUAAACCGCUUUCGCCUGUGACGAAGCGUGAGUGACGGUAAUGGGUAAAAAAGCACCGGCUAACUACGUG